rnacentral:rRNA from 1 species
UUACAGAGUAUUAAAACACUCCUGUAUAAACCAUUUGUGAACCUAUACCUUACGUUGCCUCGGCGGUCUUACCCUGCAGCUUACCCUGUAGCGGGCGGACCGCCGGUGGAAAACCAAACUAUUUGUAUUAUUAUCAUCUGAGAGUCUUAUGAAAAUAAGUCAAAACCUUUAACAACGGAUCUCUUGGUUCUGGCAUCGAUGAAGAACGCAGCGAAAUGCGAUAAGUAAUGUGAAUUGCAGAAUUCAGUGAAUCAUCGAAUCUUUGAACGCACAUUGCGCCCCCCAGCAUUCUGGAGGGCAUGCCUGUUCGAGCGUCAUUAGUACCACUCAAGACCUAGUCUUGGCGUUGGGAGACUACCCGGGAGCUACCCUGUAGCUGUUACCCUGUAGCUCCUCAAAUUCACCGGCGGAGUGACGGUUCUACCUCUGAGCGCAGUAAUAUACCUCUCGCUUCUGUAGGUGCCGUGGCCCUCGCCGCUAAACCCCCAACUUUUUUACUGGGUUGACCUCGGAUCAG